UGCCAAACAAGCACAAUAUAUGCAUAGUAAUAGCAGUCGGCCUUAUUUGCUUCUUUACAUGUUCCCAGUACCGUCAGAACAGAAGGGAUGGUAGUACAUAACUAAUUUAUAUUUUCCAUUACAUGGAACUCAAAGCCCUUGUGCAUAUCACCAUCAUCAACUAGCAGCCCCAACAACAAUCACCAUUUCAUGCCCAAUAAUAUUUAACAAAACAGGAGAGGAAUUCAGGAGCACUAAAAGAUGAGCAUUAAGCAACAGCAGUCAAUUUUGUCAAUUGAUUAUGCAUUUAUGCACAUUACUCCAGAGAACUUUCAACAAUUGCAUACACAAGAUAAACUUACAUCUAAUGAAUAACAGUGUAAAAUUACAGAAUGCCAUCAGGAGGGACAUAUCAGUUUCGAUUAUUUCACAGUCCCUUACAGUAGAUACACUGCAGGGCUCAAAGCCCUUGCGCAAUUUCCCAAACAUCACCUGGCAUUCCAAUUAAACCCAUUCCAAUUGAUAAAUGAAAACUUCAAUCCGGCAAACCACCACAAACACAUCCACUAGUAGAUAUUCAAUAAGCUUUCCUAAAAACUAAUCAACAGUCAAGAUUAUCAACAACAACAACAAUGGCAAAAAAAGCUUGGAAAUGGUGGGAAAAAAUAUUGAAAACAAAUAUGAAGGAAGCAUAAAAAAGUUUUUUUUUUUUUUUUUUUUUUUUAAAAAAAAUAUUGUUUUUUUUUUUCCAAAAAAAAAAAAAAAAAAAAAAAAAAAAAAUAAAUCAAACAAUUCCAAUCAAAUGCUGCCAUCAGAACGGAUUGAUAAUAGGAAUUAUUUCAUAUUUUCCAUUAAAUGGAACUCAAAGCCCUUGCGCAAUAUCAACAUCAUCAUCUAGCAGCAUAGACAACAAUGAUGACUCAAAACCCAACAAUAUUCAAAAGAAAAAGAGUGGAAGAGAGCAGCAGAAAUCAAUUCAGUCACUUGUUUUAGCAUCCAUAUACAAUACCACUGGUGGAAAUGACAAAUCGGAUCAAUACACUUUCAACGGGUGUGUAAUCAGCGAGAAAUCACUAAUACCAUCAGAUUAAUUUGAGAAAAACUUCAAAUCGAAUACCUGACAAAGAAGGAUGAGUAGAGUAGCAUGCACCUUGGAUCAGAGAGAAAUAGACACGGCGGCGGAGAGAAUGCGUACAGAGUAUAGGAGAAUGAAAAAGCCUAGAACUCACUGCUUAGAUGUAGGGCUGGG
rnacentral:misc_RNA from 1 species